UCCCUUUUCUGCUCAUGUUUUUAUCUAGUUCAUCACACUCCGCAUAAACUGUGGCGACGGGUGUGGGAUGGAGAGGUGGAGUGAAGGUUCCCUGCCUAAAGAAAAACAUAGAAUGGCAGCUCUGCCAUCAUCCCUCCGAGCUGUGGUUUCCUUCAUUUUCAUACCUACUCAUGGAGUCUUCAGAUACGGUUCCCUUACAGUCAGAAGGUGUUCAGCAAGGUUCUCCACGGAUCUGCUCAACUAGAAGG